rnacentral:rRNA from 1 species
UGGGGGAUAUUGCACAAUGGGCGAAAGCCUGAUGCAGCGACGCCGCGUGGGGGAUGAAGGCUUUCGGGUUGUAAACCUCUUUCGCUAUCGAACAAGGCCCGCUUAGGGUGGGUUGAGGGUAGGUGGAGAAGAAGCGCCGGCUAACUACGUGCCAGCAGCCGCGGUAAUACGUAGGGCGCGAGCGUUGUCCGGAAUUAUUGGGCGUAAAGGGCUUGUAGGCGGCUUGUUGCGCCUGCUGUGAAAACGCGGGGCUUAACUUCGCGCGUGCAGUGGGUACGGGCAGGCUUGAGUGUGGUAGGGGUGACUGGAAUUCGAGGUGGAGCGGUGGAAUGCGCAGAUAUCUGGAGGAACACCGAUGGCGAAGGCAGAUCACUGGGCCAUUACUAACGCUGAGGAGCGAAAGCAUGGGUAGCGAACAGG